AUUGAACGCUGGCGGCAGGCUUAACACAUGCAAGUCGAACGGUAACAUAAAGAAGCUUGCUUCUUUGAUGACGAGUGGCGGACGGGUGAGUAAUGCUUGGGAAUCUAGCCUAUGGAGGGGGAUAACUACGGGAAACUGUAGCUAAUACCGCGUAGAAUCGAGAGAUGAAAGUGUGGGACCUUCGGGCCACAUGCCAUAGGAUGAGCCCAAGUGGGAUUAGGUAGUUGGUGAGGUAAAGGCUCACCAAGCCGACGAUCUCUAGCUGGUCUGAGAGGAUGACCAGCCACACUGGGACUGAGACACGGCCCAGACUCCUACGGGAGGCAGCAGUGGGGAAUAUUGCGCAAUGGGGGCAACCCUGACGCAGCCAUGCCGCGUGAAUGAAGAAGGCCUUCGGGUUGUAAAGUUCUUUCGGUAGCGAGGAAGGCAUUUAGUUUAAUAGACUAGGUGAUUGACGUUAACUACAGAAGAAGCACCGGCUAACUCCGUGCCAGCAGCCGCGGUAAUACGGAGGGUGCGAGCGUUAAUCGGAAUAACUGGGCGUAAAGGGCACGCAGGCGGUGACUUAAGUGAGGUGUGAAAGCCCCGGGCUUAACCUGGGAAUUGCAUUUCAUACUGGGUCGCUAGAGUACUUUAGGGAGGGGUAGAAUUCCACGUGUAGCGGUGAAAUGCGUAGAGAUGUGGAGGAAUACCGAAGGCGAAGGCAGCCCCUUGGGAAUGUACUGACGCUCAUGUGCGAAAGCGUGGGGAGCAAACAGG
rnacentral:rRNA from 1 species